rnacentral:rRNA from 1 species
CAGUCGCCACGGUAAUGCAGAGGGUGCGAGCGUUAAUCGGAAUUACUGGGCGUAAAGGGCGCGUAGGCGGUGAGAUGUGUGUGGUGUGAAAGCCCCGGGCUUAACCUGGGAAGUGCAUCGCAAACUAUCUGACUGGAGUAUAUGAGAGGGUGGCGGAAUUUCCGGUGUAGCGGUGAAAUGCGUAGAGAUCGGAAGGAACGUCAAUGGCGAAAGCACUCUGCUGGGCCGACACUGACACUGAGAGACGAUAGCUAGGGGAGCAAAUGGGAUUAGAUACCCCUGUAGUCCCUGUCUCUUAUAC